rnacentral:rRNA from 1 species
GAUGAACGCUGGCGGCGUGCUUAACACAUGCAAGUCGAACGAAGCACCUUGAUUUGAUUCUUCGGAUGAAGAUCUUGGUGACUGAGUGGCGGACGGGUGAGUAACGCGUGGGUAACCUGCCUCAUACAGGGGGAUAACAGUUAGAAAUGACUGCUAAUACCGCAUAAGACCACAGCACCGCAUGGUGCAGGGGUAAAAACUCCGGUGGGAUGAGAUGGACCCGCGUCUGAUUAGGUAGUUGGUGGGGUAACGGCCUACCAAGCCGACGAUCCGUGGCCGACCUAGGGGGGUGCCCGGCCAAAUUGGGACUGAGACACACGACAAACUCCGUCGGGAGGCAGCAGUGGGGAAUAUUGCACAAUGGGGGAAACCCUGAUGCAGCGACGCCGCGUGAGCGAUGAAGUAUUUCGGUAUGUAAAGCUCUAUCAGCAGGGAAGAAAAUGACGGUACCUGACUAAGAAGCACCGGCUAAAUACGUGCCAGCCGCCGCGGUAA